rnacentral:rRNA from 1 species
UACGUAGGGGGCGAGCGUUGUCCGGAUUUAUUGGGCGUAAAGAGCGUGUAGGCGGCCAGGUAGGUCGGUUGUGAAAACUGGAGGCUCAACCUUCAGAGGUCGACCGAAACCAUCUGGCUAGAGUCCGGGAGAGGAGAGUGGAAUUCCUGGUGUAGCGGUGAAAUGCGCAGAUAUCAGGAAGAACACCCGUGGCGAAAGCGGCUCUCUGGAACGGUACUGACGCUGAGACGCGAAAGCGUGGGGAGCAAACAGG